rnacentral:rRNA from 1 species
GUUAGGUAAAUCCGGCUCUUUUUAAGGCUGAGACACGACGUCGAGCUACUACGGUAGUGAAGUCAUUGAUGCCAUGCUUCCAGGAAAAGCCUCUAAGCUUCAGAUUGUAAGGAAUCGUACCCCAAACGACACAGGUGGUCGGGUAGAGAAUACCAAGGCGCUUGAGAGAACUCGGGUGAAGGAACUAGGCAAAAUGGUACCGUAACUUCGGGAGAAGGUACGCUCU